rnacentral:rRNA from 1 species
CCUACGGGUGGCAGCAGUCGAGAAUCAUUCACAAUGGAGGCAACUCUGAUGGUGCAACGCCGCGUGGAGGAUGACGGUCCUAGGAUUGUAAACUCCUGUCAUUGGGGAGUAAGACUUAUGCGUUAAUAGCGUGUAAGUUUGAUAGUACCCAAAGAGGAAGGGACGGCUAACUUCGUGCCAGCAGCCGCGGUAAUACGAAGGUCCCAAGCGUUGUUCGGAAUCACUGGGCGUAAAGCGUGUGUAGGCUGCGCGGAAAGUCAAAUGUGAAAGCCCGGGGCUCAACCUCGGAACUGCAUUCGAUACUCCCGUGCUAGAGUAAUGGAGAGGUAAGUGGAAUUCCCGGUGUAGCAGUGAAAUGCGUGGAUAUCGGGAGGAACAUCAAUGGCGAAGGCAACUUACUGGACAUUUACUGACGCUCAGACACGAAGGCUAGGGGAGCG